GGUUAAGCGACUAAGCGUACACGGUGGAUGCCCUGGCAGUCAGAGGCGAUGAAGGACGUGCUAAUCUGCGAAAAGCGUCGGUAAGGUGAUAUGAACCGUUAUAACCGGCGAUGUCCGAAUGGGGAAACCCAGUGCAAUUCGUUGCACUAUCGUUAACUGAAUACAUAGGUUAACGAGGCGAACCGGGGGAACUGAAACAUCUAAGUACCCCGAGGAAAAGAAAUCAACCGAGAUUCCCCCAGUAGCGGCGAGCGAACGGGGAGCAGCCCAGAGUCUGAAUCAGCUUGUGUGUUAGUGGAACGGUCUGGAAAGUCCGACGGUACAGGGUGAUAGUCCCGUACACCAAAAUGCACAGGCUGUGAACUCGAAGAGUAGGGCGGGACACGUGGUAUCCUGUCUGAAUAUGGGGGGACCAUCCUCCAAGGCUAAAUACUCCUGACUGACCGAUAGUGAACCAGUACCGUGAGGGAAAGGCGAAAAGAACCCCGGCGAGGGGAGUGAAAAAGAACCUGAAACCGUGUACGUACAAGCAGUGGGAGCACCUUCGGGUGUGACUGCGUACCUUUUGUAUAAUGGGUCAGCGACUUAUAUUCUGUAGCAAGGUUAACCGUAUAGGGGAGCCGCAGGGAAACCGAGUCUUAACUGGGCGUUAAGUUGCAGGGUAUAGACCCGAAACCCGGUGAUCUAGCCAUGGGCAGGUUGAAGGUUGGGUAACACUAACUGGAGGACCGAACCGACUAAUGUUGAAAAAUUAGCGGAUGACUUGUGGCUGGGGGUGAAAGGCCAAUCAAACCGGGAGAUAGCUGGUUCUCCCCGAAAGCUAUUUAGGUAGCGCCUCGUGAACUCAUCUUCGGGGGUAGAGCACUGUUUCGGCUAGGGGGUCAUCCCGACUUACCAACCCGAUGCAAACUACGAAUACCGAAGAAUGUUAUCACGGGAGACACACGGCGGGUGCUAACGUCCGUCGUGAAGAGGGAAACAACCCAGACCGCCAGCUAAGGUCCCAAAGUCAUGGUUAAGUGGGAAACGAUGUGGGAAGGCACAGACAGCCAGGAUGUUGGCUUAGAAGCAGCCAUCAUUUAAAGAAAGCGUAAUAGCUCACUGGUCGAGUCGGCCUGCGCGGAAGAUGUAACGGGGCUAAACCAUGCACCGAAGCUGCGGCAGCGACACUAUGUGUUGUUGGGUAGGGGAGCGUUCUGUAAGCCUGCGAAGGUGUGCUGUGAGGCAUGCUGGAGGUAUCAGAAGUGCGAAUGCUGACAUAAGUAACGAUAAAGCGGGUGAAAAGCCCGCUCGCCGGAAGACCAAGGGUUCCUGUCCAACGUUAAUCGGGGCAGGGUGAGUCGACCCCUAAGGCGAGGCCGAAAGGCGUAGUCGAUGGGAAACAGGUUAAUAUUCCUGUACUUGGUGUUACUGCGAAGGGGGGACGGAGAAGGCUAUGUUAGCCGGGCGACGGUUGUCCCGGUUUAAGCAUGUAGGCUGGUUGUCCAGGCAAAUCCGGAUAAUCAAGGCUGAGGUGUGAUGACGAGGCACUACGGUGCUGAAGUAACAAAUGCCCUGCUUCCAGGAAAAGCCUCUAAGCAUCAGGUAACAUUAAAUCGUACCCCAAACCGACACAGGUGGUCAGGUAGAGAAUACCAAGGCGCUUGAGAGAACUCGGGUGAAGGAACUAGGCAAAAUGGUGCCGUAACUUCGGGAGAAGGCACGCUGGUGUGUAGGUGAAGUCCCUGCGGAUGGAGCUGAGACCAGUCGAAGAUACCAGCUGGCUGCAACUGUUUAUUAAAAACACAGCACUGUGCAAACACGAAAGUGGACGUAUACGGUGUGACGCCUGCCCGGUGCCGGAAGGUUAAUUGAUGGGGUUAUCCGUAAGGAGAAGCUCUUGAUCGAAGCCCCGGUAAACGGCGGCCGUAACUAUAACGGUCCUAAGGUAGCGAAAUUCCUUGUCGGGUAAGUUCCGACCUGCACGAAUGGCGUAAUGAUGGCCAGGCUGUCUCCACCCGAGACUCAGUGAAAUUGAACUCGCUGUGAAGAUGCAGUGUACCCGCGGCAAGACGGAAAGACCCCGUGAACCUUUACUAUAGCUUGACACUGAACAUUGAGCCUUGAUGUGUAGGAUAGGUGGGAGGCUUUGAAGCGUGGACGCCAGUCUGCGUGGAGCCAACCUUGAAAUACCACCCUUUAAUGUUUGAUGUUCUAACGUUGGCCCCUGACCGGGGUUGCGGACAGUGUCUGGUGGGUAGUUUGACUGGGGCGGUCUCCUCCCAAAGCGUAACGGAGGAGCACGAAGGUUAGCUAAUCCUGGUCGGACAUCAGGAGGUUAGUGCAAUGGCAUAAGCUAGCUUGACUGCGAGCGUGACGGCGCGAGCAGGUGCGAAAGCAGGUCAUAGUGAUCCGGUGGUUCUGAAUGGAAGGGCCAUCGCUCAACGGAUAAAAGGUACUCCGGGGAUAACAGGCUGAUACCGCCCAAGAGUUCAUAUCGACGGCGGUGUUUGGCACCUCGAUGUCGGCUCAUCACAUCCUGGGGCUGAAGUAGGUCCCAAGGGUAUGGCUGUUCGCCAUUUAAAGUGGUACGCGAGCUGGGUUUAGAACGUCGUGAGACAGUUCGGUCCCUAUCUGCCGUGGGCGCUGGAGAAUUGAGGGGGGCUGCUCCUAGUACGAGAGGACCGGAGUGGACGCAUCACUGGUGUUCGGGUUGUCAUGCCAAUGGCACUGCCCGGUAGCUAAAUGCGGAAGAGAUAAGUGCUGAAAGCAUCUAAGCACGAAACUUGCCCCGAGAUGAGUUCUCCCUGAGACUUUAAGUCUCCUGAAGGAACGUUGAAGACGACGACGUUGAUAGGCCGGGUGUGUAAGCGCAGCGAUGCGUUGAGCUAACCGGUACUAAUGAACCGUGAGGCUUAACCUU
rnacentral:rRNA from 1 species